GAGGAACCUGGGGGAGCCACAGGCUCUGUAGACAGAAAAUAAUCACAAGACGACAGGUGUGUGGGCACGACUCCUUGAAAACGGGAAAGCUGUAAUGAAAUCGGCUUUUCCUCCAAAGCUCUAGGCACCAAUUCCCAUCUAAGUGCCAGGCGCAAAGUCCGCGGGGAUCAUAGCAUGUACUGCCCACAAGGAGCCAAAGAGAGAGAAACUACAGGGGAUCUCUGACUUACAAUGGGAUUACUUCCUGAUCCAUCCAUCCUAUAUGGAGAAUACUGCAAAGCUGACCAUCAUAAGUCAGACUACCUUUACCAGGCUGCCCCUGAAGUCUCUGGGGAAAGUCAGACGCCUCAGCCAGCCACCUGAAGAGUUGUCAUCUGCAGUCCAGGAAAUCUAUAAUUUCGUGUCUCAAAAUGUCCUGAGCAACUUGCUAGAGUGACAAGCCCUCUGGUCACAGAGCUUCCUCUGCAGUCACCCUGACCUCUCCUGCACCUGUUGACAUUCUGUCAAAUGUGAUCACAGAGUUUCCAUCAAGGUUAGAUGGCAACAUCACCCAUUUUACUGAUGGAACAACUGAGGCACAG
rnacentral:lncRNA from 1 species